UCACCCCUGCCUCACACACACUCUUUUACUGGUGUAGACACACACAUGCACAUACACACGGACGCAUGCACACACAAUACACACACACCAGGGCCGGCCUGAACGCCGGUCUGUUUUCUGAACACUGAGGAACGGACGGAGGAACCUUCCUGAUCUUCAUCCCUGGACUGGAGCGUCUCGCCGGCGCCUCGUUAGAAACGCUGCUGAUGCCCGGAGGAGAGACAGACGCAUGGGUCCACAGGUCCGUCUCCCCUGCGGCGCUCUAGACUCUUCUCUUCGAGUAUUUGACAGACUGUGUGUGACACUCGCUCUCACUGGGUGUCAGUUUGUCAAAUACCCCAAGAGAGGAGUCACUACUCACCCAGAGACCCCGCCCUUCAGGAAAUAACAGAUGGAUGAAUAUUUUAUAGAUGGGAGGAUGGGUUGUGGUUGCAUGGUGUAGGCAUGGAGUGAGAGAUGGAUGGAUUGGUGAUGGACGAGUGGAUGGACGAGUGGACGGAUGGUGGACGGAUGAAUGGUUCAUGGAUAGAUGGAUGAGUGUGUGGGCGGUGCAUGGAUUGGUGUAUUAAGGGAUGGAUAGACGGAUGAUGGAUGGAUGGUAUGAGGUAUUGAUGAUGGAUUGAUGGAUUUUUGCUGGAUGAGUAAAUAAAUAAACGGACGUUUAAAUGGA